UGUCCGUUCCGUCCGUGGGACCGCCUGUUCGGCCUGUCUCCUCCGUGGGCUCAUCUGUUCCAUCUGUCCGGUCUUUCGUGUCCUUGGGACGCUCUGUGGCCGCUUCGCUCCGCGCCGGGCACGGGGCAGGGCAGCCGGUGGGAUGGCCACGGUGACCUCCUCAAGUGGAAAUACAGAAGUGGUCACAGUCAGAAGGACGGAGUCACGGGAUGUCCCAGCCAUUAUCAGCCUCUUCAGCUCUGUCACAGAAGAUGUGUUUGGAAGGAUGGAUGUCACUUAUCUCUUAGAACUAUCAAAUCUUGCUUUGACACUCUGCAAUGAGAAGAAUGAGGUUAUGGCACAUACUGCCUUUCUGGACUAUCCAAAUUGGAACAUCACUGAUCAGGCUGAAUGGGAACCAUUCCUGCAUGAAAACUACCCCGACAAUAAGUGCACUCCUUUGAACACGCUCUUUGUGCAUCUCUUUGUGGCAAAGGAAGGUUAUGCAGCUGGAUGUUCCCAAGAAAUUGUCAGGAAAGCUUUCAUCUUACUCCCAGAUCUGCAGUUUAUACUUCUCUUUAUACCAGCUGAGAAGAGGUUAGGUUUUAGCCAUUCAGAGCUGGACCUGGGGGAUGUCUUUGAAAGGAUUGUGCCUGCUCCACUCUCCAAUGUGGAGAGACGUUUCACCUUGCUGGCAUGCCCGAGGCAUCGGUGUCACCCUCAGCUGUACGUGCGCCAGGCAAGGCUGGAAGAUUAUGAUGAUCUCAUGCUAAUCUGGACACCUCAAAGUGAGACUCUGAAGGAAACCUAUGGUGAAUAUCUCCUUGUUGAUCUCAUAGAACGUGAAGGUGAAGAAAAUCAGGCAGCUGUUUGUGAGGUUGGUGGCACUGCAGUAGGAUUCAUGAGCUUAUGUUCUGAUGUGAACAUUUCCUUGUUACAAGAGUGUUUUGACUUAGGGCCUUUCCAUGGACUCUGCAAACCACAUCCUGAGGAUAUUCUCGAAGUGCCACGGAAGCCAAGUGUUCAAGGAGAUGAAGAUGAAAGCAGCCAAACAAGUCAACAGCCAGAGCCUGUUUCUUCUCAAAACUUGGAACAUGUUCCUGGUGCAGAUGCAGCUGUGCAGAAAGAUGGAGCUGUUACCGUUUCCCAGACUGAAGACUCUCAAGGCUCAGCAGCACCUCUGCUGGAGACUGGUGAGGAGGGGGAUUUGCAUCCUGUGAACGGAGGAGCUUCAAAUGUUUUCAGUAUCCGUCUGUUUUGUAUCGAUGAGCAGUACAAAAGUAGGUCACUGGAUUUUUUGCAGUAUGCUUUCAAUGUUUUCCCAGACAGAGACUUGUGUGUCAUCCUGGUGCCACAUCAUGUCCCUGAGUUCCCGCUGAUCCGGAGCUUUGUUCGGGCCGUCCCUUCCUGCCCGUCCAGGCUGGGUCGGGAGCUGUACGUGUUCCACAGGGCAGGAUUGCUCACGUCAUUUAAUGUAAGAAAAGCAGCAACCAGUGACUUGGAGGGUGUCAAAAGGCUCAUUGAAAAUCUUAGCUUGAAUGAAAAUAUGUGGAAUGACUCAAAGUUGUUCACUGAGACUCGCACGGAUCCAGACGGGAUGCCACUACAGGCUUUUGUAGCACAGGUUUUGGAUCAAGUCGUUGGUGUUGCUGUCACUAGGGAUGAAAUGGAUACUGAGUAUAUUCGAUCACAUUACAAUAUUGAGGACUUCAUUAAUUUUAACAACCACCAGCAAGAGGAACAUGGACAUCUUUUUCACUUUGUCUUGAAUCCUGUAUUUCAUCACUAUGCAAAAUACUUUCUAAAGGAGAUUCUUCGCUUGGGUCACAAAUCUUCUCUUUACUACCCUAUUUAUCCAGAAUAUGUGGAGAGCACGUUCCAGCAUCCCUGUGCUCAUUCCCUGACAUCUGCCCUUCAUUACAUGGCUCCCGUGCGGCCGAGACGACAGAUUGUCUAUCCUCUGCAAGAGCUUGGCGUGAGCGCUCCGUCGGAGCAAGUCUCCAAGGAUCAGCUGAAAUAUUCUUUGAACCUCAUAAAUCGAAAGCUGGUGCUGGAACCAAAAGUGUGUAUCAACAGUAGAAUUGUGGUGGUUGGUGCAUCUGAUGUUGGAAUCUCUUUUCUGGAAACACUGAUUUUUUGGCCACGUCUGAAGUUCAACAACCUGACCUUGAUUUCCAUUCAUGGCCUUCCAGGAAAAGACCCACUGAUCUCCAAAUAUAGAAGAUUUUUAAUUAACAGCCACUGUUUUAAUGAUGAAGAUUAUGCACAGAUGUCACUUUGUUCCUGGGUUAACGUUGUGGUUGGUAAAAUGACGAGCAUAAACCGCAGUGCCAAAUACGUCGUCGUUUCCAAGGAGAAAGUGCCAUACGACUACCUGGUUCUGUGCACGGGACAGAGCUACCAGGCCCUGGCUCCCAUGGGAGAAUAUAUCAGUGAAGUCACGAGCCAGUGGCCACAGAGAUACACAGAGCAAGUCCCUUCCAAUCUCUUCACUCUCAAUGAUGCCCAGGACUGCUUUGAGGCAGCACUCUGGCUGGAGGAACACCGCCUCAUCAAGUCCACAGAGAACAUCAUUGUCUAUGGGAACACAAUUGACACGUACACCACGGUAGAAGCCCUCUUAUCCCUUGGGAUCGAGGGUUCCCGCAUCCAUCUGGUGUGGGCUCCGCCGGGCUCUGCCAGCCCCUGCCUGCUCGAGGCUGCCCUGGAACAAGCAGUGUGCGAGGCCCUGGAAGGGGCACGUGUGGUUGUGCACCCCAACAGCAUCCUGGCACAGUGGGGACACGGUGACAAUGGCCUCCUCACCUGGGCUGCCUUCACCACUGCCUCCACCCUCCUCCACCUGCAGUGCUCUGCAUUUUUUAGCUUUGCCUACAGGACACUGGAUUAUGACAUCUUUAAGGCUGUCACUGAUGCUUGCCUUGUUUUUGAUGGAAGAGUUGUGAUUGAUACAGAAUUCCACACCAAUGAUGCCAGCAUCAGGGCUGCAGGUCCUCUGACAAAGUUCUCCAGGAGAUACUACAGGGAUGAAUUAACACACAGCAACUUCAACUCCAAGGAGAUUGGCUUUGAGCUUGCUGCUUCCAUGCUGAGUCUCUUUGAUUCAAAGCUUCAGCCCAGUUCUGAGCCACCAGAAGGCUCAGACAGACUCAUCCCCGUAUACAGGAGGUGUAAAGUUCAAGGUGGUGUUCUUCCUGGAGGUUAUAACUACUUGCACAUUUCCAAGCCUGGAAUCCCUGUGCCCUUGGAUGUAGAACUUGACCCGUAUGAUCGUGGGACAGAGAUUGUAACAGGGGAGGCCACUCAGGGGAAUUACUUCAGGAUACACUUCAGCAGAUACAAUAUGGUGGACAGCAUCACCUGCUUUUCCAAGGAGCCCUUCCCUGUGUCCAACUACAUCUGCUUGUACGGGCAGCACGAGCGCCUCCUCAAUGACCUGUACUACCGCUGGGGGGCCGGGCAGCUCACAGACCUCUACAGCUACUUCAGGGAACCUUGGUCUUUGGCCAUCUAUCACGAUCGGUUUAUUGAUCUGCAGAAGGAACUGCACCAAAUGCUGAUGUCAGAAGAGGUGCCCGGGCAGCUGCCUAGGCUGAAACCCGGCCGGCCAUCGCUUCGGGAACCCGUCCUGUGCUACCUGCGGCACCACCGCGCCCAGCUGCCCAUGUACGCCCCGACCGAUCCUUACAGACUGCUCCCGCCCGCAGCAGGCAGCCAGGGACUGAAGCUGGACAAAGAUGGGCACAGUGGCAGCAGCAGGAGCCCCACGCCGGCACAGGAGCCCUCCUAGGACAUGGUUCCUUCACUGACAGAAAAUCAACAGAAAGCAAAACCCAACUGUGGGUUGAGGCAGAAAAUCAAACCAGUUGUCCAAGCCCUCAGUGACAGAGGCUCCUCCCAGCAGCUGCACCAGCCUAUGACACGUGUAAACCAAAACAGAUCAGCUACUGCCAACAGGAGCUCUGCCCACUACAGCAGGUGCCAGGAGGGCACACAGAGUCCUCAGAAGCCUUCAGCUGUGUUGUACUCUGGCUGGAGACAGGUCACAGCCUGCUGGGACAAGGGAUUUGCUUAUUUUUGUUUCUCUAGGGAGCAGUUCCAGUGCACAGCCAUUGCACACAGCACAGAAAGGCCAUGGCACUCCCACAGUGGGACAGCACCAACCAGAGAGCUCCUCCUCAACGACCUGUGCUCCAGCAGGGAACAUCUACCUGGCCAGUCACAGGAAAGCCUCUCCUUAGAAGAAAUUCCCUAAUGCACAGAGAGCUGGAAACAAGCAUUCCCAGCAUGAGGGCUGGCACAGAAUUCUCCCUGGAAGGUGCCUUAACCUUUGGAAAAAUUCUAGAGAAUCACAAUUUCUUCCACUACGUAACAGAAUAGAAAAAUGCCCCCUGCAUUCCUAAGUGGCAGACAGGUGAUUCCUGCAGGUGCAGGAGAGGUGGAUCUAUGCCUGGAGCAGGCCUGGCUGGGGAACAGUGGAGCUGCUGGGACUGCAUCCAGCCUCCCUGCUGACUGCUGAGGGGCAUCUGAUGGAAAACACAUCCCCAUGGCCACAGCUGACACUGCCCCUGCUCAUCACUGGCUAAAUAUGCAGGAGAAUCAGCAGGUAAUGUGAGGAGACUCUCUGAAGCGGAGAUUCUGACACCAGAAGUCAUGGCCAGCCUCCAGUUCAUGAGCGGGAAAUUAAUUCUGAGGUUCACAGGUCUGAAAAUUGGGACCUGACUGGGGGA